GAUGAAGAACGCAGCGAAAUGCGAUAGGUAAUGUGAAUUGCAGAAUUCAGUGAAUCAUCGAAUCUUUGAACGCACCUUGCGCCCUUUGGCCAUUCCGAAGGGCAUGCCUGUUUGAGUAUCAUGAACACCUCAACUCUUUAUGGUUUUCCAUGAUGAGCUUGGACUCUGGGGGUUUUGCUGGCUCACAGUCGGCUCCUCUAAAAUGAAUCAGCUUACCAGUGUUUGGUGGGUAUCAUGGGUGUGAUAACUAUCUACGCUUGUGGUUUUUCCACCAGGUAACCUUCAGCAGUGGAGGUUCGCUGGAGCUCAUAGAUGUCUCUCCUCAGUGAGGACAGCCCUUUGAAUGUUUGAUCUCAAAUCAGGUAGGACUACCCGCUGAACUUAAGCAUAUCAAUAAGCGGAGGA
rnacentral:misc_RNA from 1 species